rnacentral:misc_RNA from 1 species
GAUUUAAAACUAUGGUCAUUAUUAAUUUCCAUGCCUUCUGUAUCGUAAAUUGUUCUCACAAACUAGUUGAUUAUUUGUAGUCCAUGAUAGUAAUUUAUCAUAUUUUCUAAAUAUGCCAAUUUAAGUUCUAAAACACCUCUCCAUCUUUCAGAAAAUCUAUACAUUGAUAUUUUGAGGUGCAACUAAAAUACUCAUUCCAGCCAAAAAAAUAUUGAAAUUUUUAUACUUAAUACAACUUAAAAUUUUGACGAAAUUAACUUAAGACAUGACUU